CCGAGUUUACAACUCCCAAACCCAAUGUGAACCAUACCAAACUGUUGCCUCGGCGGGGUCACGCCCCGGGUGCGUCGCAGCCCCGGAACCAGGCGCCCGCCGGAGGGACCAACCAAACUCUUUCUGUAGUCCCCCCGCGGACGUUAUUUCUUACAGCUCUGAGCAAAAAUUCAAAAUGAAUCA
rnacentral:misc_RNA from 1 species